GGCCUACCAUGGUGGUAACGGGUAACGGGGUGUUAGGGCACGACACCGGAGAGGGAGCCUGAGAAACGGCUACCACAUCCAAGGAUGGCAGCAGGCGCGCAAAUUACCCAAUCCCGACACGGGGAGGUAGUGACAAUAAAUAACAAUACGGGGUUCUUUCGGAUCUCGUAAUUGGAAUGAGUACAAUUUAAAUCUCUUAACGAGGAACAAUUGGAGGGCAAGUCUGGUGCCAGCAGCCGCGGUAAUUCCAGCUCCAAUAGCGUAUAUUAAAGUUGUUGCAGUUAAAAAGCUCGUAGUUGAAUUUCGGGGUUAGUAGGCUGGUUAUGCCACUGGUAUGUACUGGUCUUACUGAUUCCUCCUUCCUGAUGAACUGUAAUGCCAUUAAUUUGGUGUUGCAGGGAGUCUGGACUGUUACUUUGAAAAAAUUAGAGUGUUUAAAGCAGGCUAACGCUUGAAUACAUUAGCAUGGAAUAAUGAAAUAGGACGUUCGAUCCUAUUUUGUUGGUUUCUAGGAUUGACGUAAUGAUUAAUAGGGAUAGUUGGGGGCAUUAGUAUACAAUUGUCAGAGGUGAAAUUCUUGGAUUUAUUGAAGACUAACUACUGCGAAAGCAUUUGCCAAGGAUGUUUUCAUUAAUCAAGAACGAAAGUUAGGGGAUCGAAGACGAUCAGAUACCGUCGUAGUCUUAACCAUAAACUAUGCCGACUAGGGAUCGGAUGAUGUUAAUUUUUUAAUGACUCAUUCGGCGCCUUAA
rnacentral:rRNA from 1 species